UUUGACAAAUCUGAAGCCAUUUCCCAAAAGUGAAAACUACGGCCAUUUUUCAUAUUUUUUCCACAGUGAAACCCUCACCCAAAAAUCUUCAGGCGCGCUUUUAUUUUUGGAGAAAAAGUUUCUCACACCCAUAUUUCCCUAAAUUAUGCCUCGUCUAUAUUUUUCUUCGUUUUUUUCUUUUGAGUUUUCAAGCAUUCGAUUCUCUCCGAGAAGCUGAGAGAUUUCAAGCGAUUGUUUAGAUUCGGAUUUAAUUCAGAGAUUUUAUGGCUAUAUUUUUCUGGAUAGUUGGAGACGCAGGUACGUAUUUUCCACCUUUUUCUAUGAUUUUUGUUGGAUUCAGAUUGGAUUGAUGGAAGUUUGUUUUCUUUAGUGAUUCUUCAGGAAACAAGAGGAGGAGGAAGUUUUAAGUGAGCGUUGUUCGUUCCAAUGUCAUCCUACAGCAGUUGAUUCUGGCGUGUUCUUGAAACUUCAAACUAUUGCUCUUCUUUUAUUGAUAGUUCCGAGUUACUUGUUAAAUUUUCAGUUUUUAGUGACCUGUUUUUGUUAAGUAAUCUUAUAGCUGUUUUGUAUUUGGUUAUCAACAACGGUUUACUCAUGGUUUUAUGACUGGUAUCAUCAACUGAAUUUUUGUUUGAUUGCGAAACAAGCCAAAAUUUUCAUUUUAACGUUGUACCUCUGAAAUCUCGAAUGAGUGACAAUUUGAUUUGAUUUCCUGAGUUCUGAACUUUGGUUAUCUGUCUCUGUUAGUUCUUAUGAUUAUUAUACUUCUCUUCUAUGAUUGAUCUAGGUAUUUUUAUCUUACUCAUUUUCAGCUAUCUACAUUUAUAAGUCGGAUUGUAUUUUUAUCUCUGUAUAUAAUGUGGUUAAUUAGUUCCUUUGCUAUUGUAGUCAUUUUGAGGAUUUGAUGGAUUCUGUUGAUGAAGGGAUCUGGUAUUUAUCGUAAUUGACGUAGCUUAUAUUUUAGUGGUAGUGGUCAAAUUUUGGAAGUUGAUUUUUGAGAAUUCUACUAGGCAAUAGUUACAACUGUAGAUAAGUUACGGACCUUUAUUUGACUUCAGUUGAGAACUUGAUUGAGAGGGAUAUUUUAACCUUGUGCGCUAGGCAGUAAUCAAUUUGUCCUUGUCAACACUAACUAGUUGUUCACUUACAUUUGCUCACGAGAUUCUGAAAGAUUAGCUUGCAGUUGGUAAUUUUGAUUCUGCGCAUUAAUUCAUAAUUGCUUAUUGUGUAAAGUUCAGGAGCUACUAUGAAGUGGAUGUGGGAAAAUGGUGAUUCAAGACUUGAGUGUUGGUCACAAAACUUGGCACUUACUGGUUUCUUUUGUAAAACUAUCAGUUAAAGGAUAGUUGUGAAGAGAGUUAUCGACUUUGAUGAUUGAAGGCUCUUAUUUGCGAAGAAUCUUUAGGAGUUAAAGACUUUUAUUCUCUCUAAAAGAUCAAUCUACAGAAUUUGUUUUAUAAUUAUAAGCUAUCUUAUCGGCAAGCUUCUGCGAACUGGUGCACUGGAAAGUCUGCACGGCAGGCUUCUACUGCAAAACUGUAUUUAUUCUCUAUCUAUGGUGCAGUUUUGUUUAGCCCGAAAUCUUGGGAUAGGCUUCGUGUUCGUGUUUACACUGCCUAUUCAUUUGAUUCCCGUUAACAUAAGUGCAUCAAGAUGGCUAAUUGACAUGGAUUGGAGAUGGUUGCAAGUGGGUGAAUUGGAUGACUGCAAUCAGUUGAAGAAGAAAAUGUACGGAGAACUAAAUUCAGGGGUUUUUGUGCUCGGAUUCAAAUUAAGUUUUGUAUAGAAUUCAGCCUAUAGGAAGGUGAAAAUGUUGUUGGUUGUUGAGAAAUGGGAAAAGUGUUUAUGUUGUUUGGUUUGUAUGGGAGUUAUUGAAACAUGAAAGAAGAUGAUGAUGUUGUUAUGGC